AUUGAACGCUGGCGGCAGGCCUAACACAUGCAAGUCGAGCGGAUGAAGGGGGCUUGCUCCUGGAUUCAGCGGCGGACGGGUGAGUAAUGCGCAGGAAUCUACCUCGUAGUGGGGGAUAACGUCUCGAAAGGGGCGCUAAUACCGCAUACGUUCUGAGGAAGAAAGCAGGGGACCUUCGGGCCUUGCGCUAUGAGAUGAGCUUGCGUCCGAUUAGCUAGUUGGUGGGGUAAAGGCCUACCAAGGCGACGAUCGGUAACUGGUCUGAGAGGAUGAUCAGUCACACUGGAACUGAGACACGGUCCAGACUCCUACGGGAGGCAGCAGUGGGGGAAUAUUGGACAAUGGGGGCAACCCUGAUCCAGCCAUGCCGCGUGUGUGAAGAAGGCCUCGGUU
rnacentral:rRNA from 1 species